rnacentral:rRNA from 1 species
UACGUAGGGUGCAAGCGUUAAUCGGAAUUACUGGGCGUAAAGCGUGCGCAGGCGGUUUUGUAAGUCUGUCGUGAAAUCCCCGGGCUCAACCUGGGAAUUGCGAUGGAGACUGCAAGGCUAGAAUCUGGCAGAGGGGGGUAGAAUUCCACGUGUAGCAGUGAAAUGCGUAGAGAUGUGGAGGAACACCGAUGGCGAAGGCAGCCCCCUGGGUCAAGAUUGGACGCUACAUGCACGAAAGGCGUGGGGAGCAAACAGGAUUAACGAAACCCCG